UAUAUACACCUUUUACAAAAUGUUCAAUACCGUUUAGAAGAAUACUCUUCUAAACGGUAUUGAACAUUUUGUAAAAGGUGUAUAUA